rnacentral:rRNA from 1 species
UACAGAGGGGGCAAGCGUUAUUCGGAAUUAUUGGGCGUAAAGGGCGCGUAGGCGGCCUUGCAAGUGGCGGGUGAAAUCCCUCGGCUUAACCGAGGAACUGCCUGCCAGACUGCAAGGCUCGAGACCGGGAGAGGCGAGUGGAAUUCCCAGUGUAGCGGUGAAAUGCGUAGAUAUUGGGAGGAACACCAGUGGCGAAGGCGGCUCACUGGACCGGAACUGACGCUGAGGCGCGAAAGCGUGGGGAGCAAACAGG